rnacentral:rRNA from 1 species
UACGUAGGGUGCAAGCGUUGUCCGGAAUUAUUGGGCGUAAAGAGCUCGUAGGCGGUCUGUCGCGUCGGAUGUGAAAACCCAGGGCUCAACCCUGGGCCUGCAUUCGAUACGGGCAGACUAGAGUUCGGUAGGGGAGACUGGAAUUCCUGGCGUAGCGGUGAAAUGCGCAGAUAUCAGGAGGAACACCGAUGGCGAAGGCAGGUCUCUGGGCCACUACUGACGCUGAGGAGCGAAAGCAUGGGGAGCGAACAGG